CCUACGGGAGGCAGCAGUGAGGAAUAUUGGUCAAUGGGCGCGAGCCUGCACCAGCCACAUAGCGUGAAGGAUGCCUGCCCUACGGGUUGUAAACUUCUUUUAUAAAAGAAUCACGUGAGGCACGUGUGCCUUUUUGUAUGUACUUUAUGAAUAAGGAUCGGCUAACUCCGUGCCAGCAGCCGCGGUAAUACGGAGGAUCCGAGCUUUAUCCGGAUUUAUUGGGUUUACAGGGAGCGUAGAUGGGUUGUUAAGUCAGUUGUGAAAGUUUGCGGCUCAACCGUAAAAUUGCAAUUGAUACUGGCAGCCUUGAGUACAGUUGAGGUAGGCGGAAUUCGUGGUGUAGCGGUGAAAUGCUUAGAUAUCACGAAGAACUCCGAUUGCGAAGGCAGCUUACUAAACUGCCACUGACAUUGAUGCUCGAAAGUGUGGGUAUCAAACAGGAUUAGAGACCCGUGUAGUC
rnacentral:rRNA from 1 species